CACACGCGGGGCUGCAUCCUUUUUAUUCACCCGGUGACUCAACACAGGCUUCUCCAGAUCCCCACCCUAAGGAUGCAUCCCCACCGCAGCUACUUGCCUUCCUAGCCCCCUCCACCCAAUUCCUAAUUCCAUUGUCAGGGUUGAACAAAAGGCCCAGGCAUGGCAUCCUGGGUUGAAGGAUUUUUAACUCUGCCAAUCCCAGGAGGCUCCGACGUACAGCAGCUUCCUGUGGGAGAAUAGUGACUGAGACAUCUCCCUCAGGCUACUGAGGAUGUCCCCAGAGAACUCCCAGAGGCCAUCGGGUCUUGAGGUCCGGAUGACUUCCGAGGUGUGAGACUGGAGCAAUUCCCAUAGGGUCUUCCCUACAGUCCCGGGUCCAGCUCGGCUGGGACAUCCCAGCGGGGAAUUGGCGGGGGAAGACGGCGCGUUCUGGAACAAAUCUGCAUUAGUGCACAAGCCCUGUUCAGCCCACCUGGCGUUAAAGUUAACCUCACCUCAACGCGGGCUAAAUUCUCCACCAGACAGAGACGAGCCGGAAGAGAAACGUGCUGGGGAAGGUGCCAGAGCUGCAGACACUCCCCAGCCCUUCAGAGUUGAUGGUGAAGAACCCCAGACUCUGCUGAAGGCUUCCUAUGAAGUUCAGACCACAGAAAAUGAUGGCAUCAAGCACAGAUGAAAAGGAACAGUGUGUAACUGUGUGUGCUCAGGCACCAUUAAUAUGUGUUGAGCAUUUCACAGAGCAAGUUCACAGACACGCAUGUGUCCUGCAGAGUGAGAGCAGAGACAAAACCAGGAUCCUGAAGUCCUGUGAGAGAUCUGUGGGCAGUGGUCACUCAGACCUGGGCCAAGGAUGGGGUUCUUCUGUGAUGAUGGGAGAAAGUGUCCUGGACAAACAGGGGAGAGCAUGGAUGUGGAGCUGUGUGCUGUGUGCAAGGCUGAGCAGGGAGAGCACGGAUGUGGAGCUGUGUGUGAAGGCCGAGUCCUUCGUCUCUUCUGUUUUUACCUGUUUCAUCUGUAAUCGGGCUCUUCCUAGAGGACCAGCUCCCUCCUGCCUCCUGGUGGUGGCUAACCUCUUCACAGUCUUUCCCGUCAAGUGGUUGGAUGCUGAUCCUACCCAGCACAAUGGCCUCUUCUUGAUGAAGUCUAUCUGUCACAACAGGUUUCAAAUCAACUGCAGACUGCUCCAGCAGCUUGCCAGCUCCAGGUGUUCCCUCGAAAUCUGGAUCCUGGACAUCUUCAAAGCAGCUAGCCCCAGUGGUCCAGUUUCAAAGAUGCCACCUGCACUUCUCUAGCCCCAGAUGGUCCUGAAGAGUCUGGACAAAGAGUGAAACAGUCUGCUCUUCCUGACUUGGCCAGCAUCCCCGCUUUCUUGGGUCCCCAAAGAUGUCAAUGUCUCCAGACAACAGGAAGUAGUCUAAAAAAUCACAUGCCCAGGCUGGAGAGAUGGCUCAGAGGUUAAGAGCACUGACUGCUCUUCCAGGGGUCCCAAAUUGCUCUUCCAAUUCCCAGCAACCACAUGGUGGCUCACAACCAUCUACAAUUCAAUCUGGUACCCUCUUCUGGCACGUAGGCAGAACACUGUGUAUGUAAUAAAUAAAUAAAGCUUUAAAAAUAUCACACUCCCCCACCCUGCCUCACCAGCCACCCCUUACUAUUUCCUCACCUUCUGUAAUAAGUUAUGAGGGAAGGACGUUGGUAAACUGAGAACCACUCACAUUCCAGAACCAAGUACUCCCUCAGCCUGCUUUCAGCAACUCAGUGUCAGCAGUCAAGUCAUCACCAGCUGCAAAAGCAACACAUUUGCACUGUGCCCAAGAGUCAGGUACCCUUUAUAAAGCCCGAAGGUGUGAGCCCUGCCCCUCCUUUUCUAUCCUUGCUCAGAAUGGGCCUUUUGCUCUCCACCCCUAAUAAAUCUCUUGCAUGAGAUCUAUUGCAUGGUUUAAACUUUUCAGACUUUCCUUGGUCCUGCUAUCACUGCAAAAUCCUAACACAAGGUUUCAUUUAGUUCAGGCUGGCCUAGAACUUUCUGUGUAGCAGAGGCUAUCCUUGGACUCCCAAUCCUGUCUGCAGCUCCCAUGUUCUAGGCUUAGAGGUGUGUGUGCCACCAUGCUUGGCAAAACAAAAACAAACAAACAAAAGAGAAACAAACAAAACAAAAACAAACAAAAAACCCUCAUUGUGUAACCUAAGACUUUAAUUUUGAAGCACUUGAAGAACAUCAAUUGAUAAAAUGUAAUGAAUACAAAUGUGUGGACUCUGGGGAAAUAAAAUUACUCAUAUAGUUCCAUUUCCAUAGAUAGGGCUUCUUUUUGUAUUUUAAAUGACUGGCAAUCUAAGGGUGGUUUUCACAUUUUUAAAGGGUAGAAAAAUAGGCAAAGAAGAAGAUGGGGGAGAUAUCUGCAUGGGCAUAUGUAGCUGGACCCGCCCUCCGCUGCAGGCCAGCUGCAGCCCUGGGGAAAGGUAGCUUUGCUUCCAUCCCAAUGGUAACUGACAGAAGUUACAGUCUCCAAGUUGCUAUGCCGACCGGGAAUUCAGCUCUUAAAAUAGGAGACUGU
rnacentral:lncRNA from 1 species